CGGCGGCCGUAACUAUAACGGUCCUAAGGUAGCGAAAUUCCUUGUCGGGUAAGUUCCGACCUGCACGAAUGGCGUAAUGAUGGCCAGGCUGUCUCCACCCGAGACUCAGUGAAAUUGAACUCGCUGUGAAGAUGCAGUGUACCCGCGGCAAGACGGAAAGACCCCGUGAACCUUUACUAUAGCUUGACACUGAACAUUGAGCCUUGAUGUGUAGGAUAGGUGGGAGGCUUUGAAGUGUGGACGCCAGUCUGCAUGGAGCCGACCUUGAAAUACCACCCUUUAAUGUUUGAUGUUCUAACGUUGACCCGUGAUCCGGGUUGCGGACAGUGUCUGGUGGGUAGUUUGACUGGGGCGGUCUCCUCCUAAAGAGUAACGGAGGAGCACGAAGGUUGGCUAAUCCUGGUCGGACAUCAGGAGGUUAGUGCAAUGGCAUAAGCCAGCUUGACUGCGAGCGUGACGGCGCGAGCAGGUGCGAAAGCAGGUCAUAGUGAUCCGGUGGUUCUGAAUGGAAGGGCCAUCGCUCAACGGAUAAAAGGUACUCCGGGGAUAACAGGCUGAUACCGCCCAAGAGUUCAUAUCGACGGCGGUGUUUGGCACCUCGAUGUCGGCUCAUCACAUCCUGGGGCUGAAGUAGGUCCCAAGGGUAUGGCUGUUCGCCAUUUAAAGUGGUACGCGAGCUGGGUUUAGAACGUCGUGAGACAGUUCGGUCCCUAUCUGCCGUGGGCGCUGGAGAACUGAGGGGGGCUGCUCCUAGUACGAGAGGACCGGAGUGGACGCAUCACUGGUGUUCGGGUUGUCAUGCCAAUGGCACUGCCCGGUAGCUAAAUGCGGAAGAGAUAAGUGCUGAAAGCAUCUAAGCACGAAACUUGCC
rnacentral:rRNA from 1 species